rnacentral:lncRNA from 13 species
UGAGUUCGAGGUGAAGGACACCUUGAAAUAAUUACAUUUUUUUUCUCAUUUUAUGUUGUGAAAAUGGCUUAGUUGAUUUGGGGAAGAAUUGCAAAAUGUUCAGCUGACUCCCUUAUGAAGGCAACAUUAUUUUUCUCUCCCUUUUUUGCCAGCGUAACCACACUGUGAUCAUUUACCCUCUUUCUUGGAAGGUGGAUUCCUUCCAGAAGACGCCCUAAUCAUUGGUUCAGCUGCCUGUCAGCCUGACCCUGACCAGCCAUGGGGAGCCACACCCAUCCCAGAGUUUUUCAGAAAACUGGGAAUAAGAAUCUGUCUUAACCUGAUAAAGGUGAUCUCAAAACCCCUAUAACAGACAUCACACUCACCAGAGUUUUGAAGCAUUCUCUUUGAGGUCCUGUAGAAGAUAAGGCUACCGGCCACCCACACAAUCAUUCAACAAAGACAAUCAGCCUCGUCCCCUCAGUCAGACAGAAACUAGAAAGAAGGCACAAAGGGCUGAAAGGAAGGAAUGCACCUAGCAUUUUUUGCAGCAAAGUAUUUUCGUCUCUAUAAAAAUCCUAAAUGUCGACAAACAACCACAUAAAAUAGUAGGAGAGGUCAAUGAGCAUCUAGAUAAAGGAACGACUCACAAAAACGCUAGAAUUCCUCUGCGGUGACAAUCUUCAAUUAGAAAAGCAAUUUUUUAAAAAGCUGCUAUUCACGUUUGCAGUAAAGUCUGUCAAGUACCUCAAAAUUAAUCUAACAAGGAAUUAAUAUGGCCUUUCCAGAAAGUGCUUAACCUCUAUUAAAGAAGAUAGACCGAGAUGAAAAGAAGAGCUGGAAGGCGCUGAGGGAUGAACAGCUUCACCUGAUUUUAUUUCUACAUCAAGCUUGAACGUAUUUAGGG